rnacentral:rRNA from 1 species
GACGAACGCUGGCGGCGUGCUUAACACAUGCCAGUCGAACGGAAAGGCCCUGCUUGCAGGGUACUCGAGUGGCGAACGGGUGAGUAACACGUGGGUGAUCUGCCCUGCACUUCGGGAUAAGCCUGGGAAACUGGGUCUAAUACCGGAUAGGAGCCAUUUUUAGUGUGAUGGUUGGAAAGUUUUUUCGGUGUAGGAUGAGCUCGCGGCCUAUCAGCUUGUUGGUGGGGUAAUGGCCUACCAAGGCGGCGACGGGUAGCCGGCCUGAGAGGGUGGACGGCCACAUUGGGACUGAGAUACGGCCCAGACUCCUACGGGAGGCAGCAGUGGGGAAUAUUGCACAAUGGGCGCAAGCCUGAUGCAGCGACGCCGCGUGGGGGAUGACGGCCUUCGGGUUGUAAACUCCUUUCGCUAGGGACGAAGCUUUUUGCGACGGUACCUAGAUAAGAAGCACCGGCUAACUACGUG